GGCGGGAUAGCUCAGCUGGUUAGAGCGCUGGAUUCAUAACCCGGAGGUCAUCAGUUCAAGUCUGAUUCCCGCUACCA
rnacentral:tRNA from 1 species